GGAGAAGUAGCAAAGUGGCCAACUGCGCCUGACUGUAAAUCAGGUCUCUUCGAGUUCGCACGUUCGAAUCGUGCCUUCUCCA
rnacentral:tRNA from 1 species